rnacentral:tRNA from 1 species
CUUUCGAUAGCUCGCCUAGUAGAGUGGAGGACUGUAGACCCAACACUCGUGAUCAUCCUUAGGUCGCUGGUUCGAUUCCAGCUCGAAGGA